GACGAACGCUGGCGGCGUGCCUAACACAUGCAAGUCGAGCGAAUGAAGUUCCUUCGGGAACGGAUUUAGCGGCGGACGGGUGAGUAACACGUGGGCAACCUGCCUCAUAGAGGGGAAUAGCCUUCCGAAAGGGAGAUUAAUACCGCAUAAGAUUGUAGUACCGCAUGGUACAGCAAUUAAAGGAGCAAUCCGCUAUGAGAUGGGCCCGCGGCGCAUUAGCUAGUUGGUGAGGUAACGGCUCACCAAGGCGACGAUGCGUAGCCGACCUGAGAGGGUGAUCGGCCACAUUGGGACUGAGACACGGCCCAGACUCCUACGGGAGGCAGCAGUGGGGAAUAUUGCACAAUGGGGGAAACCCUGAUGCAGCAACGCCGCGUGAGUGAUGACGGCCUUCUGGUUGUAAAGCUCUGUCUUCAGGGACGAUAAUGACGGUACCUGAGGAGGAAGCCACGGUUAAGUACGUGCCAGCAGCCGCGGUAAUACGCAGGUGGCGAGCGUUGUCCGGAUUUAUUGGGCGUAAAGCGAGCGCAGGCGGUUGCUUAGGUCUGAUGUGAAAGCCUUCGGCUUAACCGAAGAAGUGCAUCGGAAACCGGGCGACUUGAGUGCAGAAAGAGGACAGUGGAACUCCAUGUGUAGCGGUGGAAUGCGUAGAUAUAUGGAAGAACACCAGUGGCGAAGGCGGCUGUCUGGUCUGCAACUGACGCUGAGGCUCGAAAGCAUGGGUAGCGAACAGGAUUAGAUACCCUGGUAGUCCAUGCCGUAAACGAUGAGUGCUAGGUGUUGGAGGGUUUCCGCCCUUCAGUGCCGGAGCUAACGCAUUAAGCACUCCGCCUGGGGAGUACGACCGCAAGGUUGAAACUCAAAGGAAUUGACGGGGGCCCGCACAAGCGGUGGAGCAUGUGGUUUAAUUCGAAGCUACGCGAAGAACCUUACCAGGUCUUGACAUCUUGCGCUAACCUUAGAGAUAAGGCGUUCCCUUCGGGGACGCAAUGACAGGUGGUGCAUGGUCGUCGUCAGCUCGUGUCGUGAGAUGUUGGGUUAAGUCCCGCAACGAGCGCAACCCUUGUUACUAGUUGCCAGCAUUAAGUUGGGCACUCUAGUGAGACUGCCGGUGACAAACCGGAGGAAGGUGGGGACGACGUCAGAUCAUCAUGCCCCUUAUGACCUGGGCUACACACGUGCUACAAUGGACGGUACAAAGAGACGCAAGACCGCGAGGUGGAGCAAAACUCAAAAACUUGUCUCAGUUCGGAUUGUAGGCUGAAACUCGCCUACAUGAAGCUGGAGUUGCUAGUAAUCGCGAAUCAGCAUGUCGCGGUGAAUACGUUCCCGGGCCUUGUACACACCGCCCGUCACACCAUGAGAGUUGGCAAUACCCAACGUACGUGAUCUAACCCGCAAGGGAGGAAGCGUCCUAAGGUAGGGUCAGCGAUUGGGGUG
rnacentral:rRNA from 1 species